UAAUAAUUUUCCUAACUAUAAAUAACAAAGAAUGUUAAUUCUUUCCUUUUUUCCAUAGGAUGCCCCUCUGUAUCCUUGGUGAAAAUAGAGAUAAAAACCUCGAUGUUACAUGACACUGUUACUCUCACCUGCAAUAAGUUCUGCAGUGGCCCUAGAACAUGGAACUAUAAUGACGACCCAGUGACCCCUUGUGAGGCUGACCGUUGCAAAGAAGGAAACGGGUUUGAAAACAGAGUCAGACUCUCAAAUGAAAGUUUUCAAGGCAAUUAUUCCCUUGAUCUCAUCAUCAUUCUGGUUGAGUUCAAUGACCAGGGGUCCUAUGUUGGCACUUGUGAUGGCCAACAUUUUGAUUUCAAGCUUGAGGUUCUGGUUCCCAUAACUGUGAAUACAUCCACUGGAGACAAUGUCACCAUACCUUGCUAUGCAACCUCACCAAAAUCGGAAGGAUGCUAUGUUUUGUGGGAGAAGAAUGGUGAGCCAGUACUGAAGCUUGAGGAUGGAGUUCUCACUCCUGGCCCCACGCUGAAGGACAGAGCAUCAGUUUCUCAGGACGGUUGCGAGAAGGGUGACCUCUCCCUUCGCAUCGCUGGUGUCCUCCCAUCUGAUCAAGGACUAUAUCUUUGCCAAUACUCUAAGACAAGAGACACAGAUCAAUUCAGAGGGGCUCCAAAUUCAGCAAGGCUCAACGUGCAACGUGCCAACGACAACGGGGAGACAUGUUCAUGCGAUACAUUGCAAAACAUUGCGAUAUUUGUGCCAGUUUGUCUGGUAUUAAUUAUUAUUAUUGCCAUCUUAGUGUGGUGGAAAUGUCCUUGUAAAGCUAGGACCAUUAGACCACCAGAUGGAUUUUCUCUGGUUCCGCCUAGAGAUGACAGGCCUACGGUUCCCGUGGAGUGUACAGUUAAUGCCCCAGCCUCUGGACCCGGAGAGACUGAUGAUGACCUUCCCUUACCUGAAAUGGACACUAACUUGCGAGCUCCAGUCCCGUGGACUAAAUGACUGUCCACAAUGCAAUCCACAGUCACAUGGGCUAAAAGCAUGGAGUGUUUUAAAUGCUGUCUUUUACUACACUGCUAUUUCGUUUUUGGAAAGUUACUCAGUUGUGCCUUCUCAAUGACAUGCAGCUGUUUAAAAAAAAACAUUUUUUUUUUAUUUAUGAUCACAGUGCAGUCAGUUUUAUUUUGUUUUAUUCUCAUGGUGGGUCGUAAUGUGUGACCCACAGCUAUCCAAUGAACUGCAACUAAUAUCCAUAUAGUCCCCCCCCCCCCCCCCCCCCCCCCCCAAAAAAGAUGCCCAUCAGUGAGUGCACUUUACUUAAACAUUGUUUCUUUAUUUAAACAGUUUAACAUUUUCAAUUUUUUAUAUUUCAUUUGAUCAGAGCUCUUAAGAUAUUUAAACAUAUGUAGCUUCUCACUGAGUGAUCAAUCCCUGCAAUGUUCAUGUUGGGUGCACGUCAGUUGUAUUAAUAAUGAGGCUAGCCAUCCCUUUGAACAUAAAGGCUAAACAGUAGGCCCUGACCAUAUUACACAAGUACAUAGUAGGCUAUAAACUCAUCACCAAAUAGAUAUUAGGCUAGGUUAUAGGCUACUAUGCUGUAAGAGCACUGCCAUACAAAAAGUGACCUGUAGUUUCCCCCCCCCCCCUCAACCCACGCCCCUCUUUGCUGCAACCUUGUGGGCUGGCCCUACACAGUGGGAACCUCUGAUAUAGUUGGUGGAUAUGAAGUGAUGGAUUGCUGAUGCAGUGGUUUGCCUCGUUGAAGUUCAUUUUGGGAAGUUGAGGGUGGUGUUGCCUUGUCUAUUUUAUACUUGUAGAACGAGUAUGGAAGGACUGUGAUUUAUUUAUAUAUUUAUAUAUAUAAAACCCCAAAUCAGAAAAAGUUGGGACGGAAUGGAAAAUGCAAAUAGAAAAAUAAAGCAGUGAUUUAUAAAUUUACCUUGACUUGU
rnacentral:lncRNA from 1 species